rnacentral:piRNA from 1 species
UGAGAAUGCAAAGUCUAUCUGCAAGCAAU